AUUGAACGCUGGCGGUAUGCUUAACACAUGCAAGUCGAACGGUAGGUACUUCGGUACUGAGAGUGGCGGACGGGUGAGUAACGCGUAGGAAUCUGCCCUGUAGUGGGGGACAACGUGGGGAAACCCACGCUAACACCGCAUACGCCCCAAGGGGGAAAGCGGGCGACCGUAAGGCCUCGCGCUAUAGGAUGAGCCGGCGUGGGAUAAGCUAGUUGGUAGGGUAAAUGCCUACCAAGGCGAGGAUCCAUAGCUGGUCUGAGAGGACGAUCAGCCACACUGGGACUGAGACACGGCCCAGACUCCUACGGAAGGCAGCAGUGGGGAAUAUUGGACAAUGGGCGCAAGCCUGAUCCAGAAAUACCGCGUGUGUGAAGAAGGCCUGAGGGUUGUAAAGCACUUUCAAUGGGGAGGAAAAAGCACGGGCGAAUACCCUGUGCCUUGACAUUACCCAUACAAGAAGCACCGGCUAACUCCGUGCCAGCAGCCGCGGUAACAC
rnacentral:rRNA from 1 species